UAUCCAGUUUCGGGGGCCCUGGUACAGGCAGGCCGGGUGAACCCCUCUUUUAUUCGCAACAUCGCCAGUUUUGGGGACCUCGGUACAGGCAGGCCGGGCCAUCCCCCCUUUAUUACGCAGUACCCCUUUCCGGGGUACCCGUCGGUACAGGCAGGCCGGGGAUAUCCCCUCUUUUAUUCGUGCA
rnacentral:ncRNA from 1 species